GGGUUUUUUGUUGCUGACCGCGCACAUCAGAGGAGCUGUCUUCUCCCACACUGGCAUUUGCCUCCAGGUCACAAUAAAAUGGUGAUAAAAUGGCAGAGGUUUUAUGUAAGUGUAAACUCGUAAACUGUUGAUUCUUGAACACCACUUAUUGGCUAUUCCAUUCAAAUGAGUCAGAAAUCUCUCACGGCUAAACACUGGAUUUUGUUGUGCACUCUCCACGAGUCCUCUCACUGUAACCAGAUGUAAACAAGAGGUUCAUUGGUUAUAAAGGAACUUUGUGAGAUUGGGAUGAACUGAAAGAUUUCCACAAUCCAAUGAAUUAUGAACACAUAAAAGAAGAAGGACAAGAAAAAACAACAUGCCAAAAUGAAUCCAUCAGCCUAAACUGCAUUCAAAAGCGCAGGAACUCACGAUCCUGAAGGGCGACGAGAGCCUCAGAUCUGUCGUGCUGCAUGCGGGGGUGAACGACAUCAGGCUGCGGCAGAUGGAGGUUCUAAAGCAGGACUUAAUCGUGUCUGGACCGCUUAUGAUGUACAGACGAGGAAAUGAAAGGUUCAUAAGAUUAUUUUCUCUAAAUUA
rnacentral:lncRNA from 1 species